UUCCGGCCCCGCCCCGCCCGCGACCUCCGCAAUUGCUCCUGCUUUGGAAUCUACCUCUUCCCAAGAAUCGAGGGUUGUUUGGAACGGACUUUAAAAAUUAUCUAGUAAAUAUCGUCUUCACUCAGACAGUGUAAAAAUAGACCUAUUGCCUCAAAAAAGGGCGAUGUUGGAAAGAUGGCUGUAGCUAGAAUGCUGACAGCAGAGAAAUUUCAGAGUUUUGUCUCAGCCUUUUGACACGGAGUACAAACACUCCAUUCCUGUAUAUCUGACAGCUUCCUGGAACAAUUGUGCAGAUUUCCUGUGUAAUGGUAGAGGGCAGACUACAUAAUCAGAACACCACCUUUAACUUCAAAAACAAUAAAUGUAUCACCUGGUCCCAGAGACUGAGCCCACAGAAUGCCUCAAGAAAACUAAUACACUAGCUCUUUGAGCUACAUGGAGUUUCAUGGCUACCUCGGGCUGAUUUAAGACCAUGCUGCUGCCAAAAGAGCAACUGCCCCUGCCUCACUUCCCAGCUCUGCAUGCUAACAUUGAGAGGGCAUUUACCAGCAGCAUGCCUUCUUGUUAGCACUGAUUUAAGCCAUCCCGUGAAAUUGCCACCUCAUUCACUUCCCUGAGAAGAAUUUCAAAGAUUGCCUUUAGAGCAAAAUUCUGUAGGAAGCAUUCAAAAAAUUGGCAAGAGUGCUCAUGACUCUUAAGACAAAAAUACUGUGACUGCUUAUUGGGGAACUUCUGUGGUAUUCCUCAAGGUGAAUUAAAAAAUAUUUCUGUGCUUAAAUAAAAAAGAAAAAUAAAAUGAACAAUGCAUUGG